rnacentral:lncRNA from 1 species
AAUGGGUAAAAAAGUUUGGAAUUAUCACUUAAGGUGGUGGAAUCUGACCUGGUGCAGACGGUUGACAUUGAGAUCAUUCAUAUUAAACUGCUUAGAACCCCCAUUCACUGGGACUGUGAAAGCAUGGUAGUUUGCUUCCUUUUCAGCAGCCUUAUGGUCUUUAUGGCUAGCAAGAAAUGAGUUAGAGUUUAAGCAAAAGUUAAUGUCGGUGCGCCAAUGUCUGGUAGAAUUGGUAUGGUG